rnacentral:rRNA from 1 species
GAUGAACGCUGGCGGCGUGCCUAAUACAUGCAAGUCGAGCGAACGGACGAGAAGCUUGCUUCUCUGAUGUUAGCGGCGGACGGGUGAGUAACACGUGGAUAACCUACCUAUAAGACUGGGAUAACUUCGGGAAACCGGAGCUAAUACCGGAUAAUAUUUUGAACCGCAUGGUUCAAAAGUGAAAGACGGUCUUGCUGUCACUUAUAGAUGGAUCCGCGCUGCAUUAGCUAGUUGGUAAGGUAACGGCUUACCAAGGCAACGAUGCAUAGCCGACCUGAGAGGGUGAACGGCCACACUGGAACUGAGACACGGUCCAGACUCCUACGGGAGGCAGCAGUAGGGAAUCUUCCGAAAUGGGCGAAAGCCUGACGGAGCAACGCCGCGUGAGUGAUGAAGGUCUUCGGAUCGUAAAACUCUGUUAUUAGGGAAGAACAUAUGUGUAAGUAACUGUGCACAUCUUGACGGUACCUAAUCAGAAAGCCACGGCUAACUACGUG